rnacentral:rRNA from 1 species
AGGGCGACCGGCCACACUGGGACUGAGGCACGGCCCAGACUCCUACGGGAGGCAGCAUUGGGGAAUAUUGCACAAUGGGCGAAAGCCUGAUGCAGCGACGCCGCGUGAGGGAUGACGGCCUUCGGGUUGUAAACCUCUUUCAGCAGGGAAGAAGCGAAAGUGACGGUACCUGCAGAAGAAGCGCCGGCUAACUACGUGCCAGCAGCCGCGGUAAUACGUAGGGCGCGAGCGUUGUCCGGAAUUAUUGGGCGUAAAGAGCUCGUAGGCGGCUUGUCACGUCGGUUGUGAAAGCCCGGGGCUUAACCCCGGGUCUGCAGUCGAUACGGGCAGGCUAGAGUUCGGUAGGGGAGAUCGGAAUUCCUGGUGUAGCGGUGAAAUGCGCAGAUAUCAGGAGGAACACCGGUGGCGAAGGCGGAUCUCUGGGCCGAUACUGACGCUGAGGAGCGAAAGCGUGGGGAGCGAACAGGAUUAGAUACCCUGGUAGUCCACGCCGUAAACGGUGGGCACUAGGUGUGGGCGACAUUCCACGUCGUCCGUGCCGCAGCUAACGCAUUAAGUGCCCCGCCUGGGG